GAUGAACGCUAGCGGAAGGCUUAAUACAUGCAAGUCGAGCGGUAGGUGGCUUCGGCCAUUGAGAGCGGCGCACGGGUGAGUAACGCGUACAUGACCUGCCUGUCAGAAGGGGAUAGCCCUGGGAAACUGGGAUUAAUACCCUAUGGUAUUGAUAUUAUGAAUGAUAUCAAUUAAAGUUGAGGCGCUGACAGAUGGAUGUGCGUCUGAUUAGCUAGUUGGUAGGGUAACGGCCUACCAAGGCGACGAUCAGUAGGGGGCGUGAGAGCGUGGUCCCCCACACGGGUACUGAGACACGGACCCGACUCCUACGGGAGGCAGCAGUGAGGAAUAUUGCGCAAUGGGGGCAACCCUGACGCAGCAACGCCGCGUGAGUGAGGAAGGUUUUCGGACCGUAAAGCUCUGUCGAGCGGGAAGAAAUGUAUCAUGGCUAAUAUCCAUGAUACUUGACGGUACCGCUAAAGGAAGCACCGGCUAACUCCGUG
rnacentral:rRNA from 1 species